rnacentral:rRNA from 1 species
GCGUGGGCACCUGCCCUGGGGUGGGGGAUAACCGCUGGAAACGGCGGCUAAUACCGCAUACGCCUUAUGAGGGAAAGAUUUAUCGCCCUGGGAGGGGCCCGCGUUGGAUUAGCUUGUUGGUGGGGUAACGGCCCACCAAGGCGACGAUCCAUAGCUGGUCUGAGAGGAUGAUCAGCCACACUGGGACUGAGACACGGCCCAGACUCCUACGGGAGGCAGCAGUGGGGAAUAUUGGACAAUGGGGGCAACCCUGAUCCAGCCAUGCCGCGUGCGUGAAGAAGGCCUUAGGGUUGUAAAGCG